rnacentral:rRNA from 1 species
AGAGUUUGAUCAUGGCUCAGGAUGAACGCUGGCGGCGUGCUUAACACAUGCAAGUCGAACGAAGCACUAAGAGCGGAACUCUUCGGAGGGAAGCAAUUAGUGACUGAGUGGCGGACGGGUGAGUAACGCGUGGAUAACCUGCCUCAUACAGGGGGAUAACAGCCAGAAAUGGCUGCUAAUACCGCAUAAGCGCACAAGGC